UACAGAGGUCCCAAGCGUUGUUCGGAUUCACUGGGCGUAAAGGGUGCGUAGGCGGCCCUGUAAGUCAGUGGUGAAAAUACUGCAGCUUAACUGUAGCAUUGCCAUUGAUACUGUAGGGCUUGAGUACAGAUGAGGUAGGCGGAAUUGAUGGUGUAGCGGUGAAAUGCAUAGAUACCAUCAAGAACACCGAUUGCGAAGGCAGCUUACUA
rnacentral:rRNA from 1 species